ensembl:snoRNA LOC120096780 small nucleolar RNA SNORA70
CAGCAGACCCUUAUACUAGCCGGUCCUUUUCUUGUAGGAACGCAGAGUGCAACAGCUGCAUACAGUAACCUGUUCAGCAAUGUACCACCCUACUACUUAUGUGGGUUGUCCCAACUGACCUUGGAGGCGCCC